rnacentral:rRNA from 1 species
AUACGUAGGGGGCAAGCGUUAUCCGGAAUCACUGGGCGUAAAGGGUGCGUAGGCGGUUUGACAAGCCAGAGGUGAAAGGCAUUGGCUCAACCAAUGUAAGCCUUUGGAACUGAUAGGCUUGAGUGCAGGAGAGGUAAGUGGAAUUCCUAGUGUAGAGGUGAAAUUCGUAGAUAUUAGGAGGAACACCAGUGGCGAAGGCGACUUACUGGACUGUAACUGACACUGAGGCACGAAAGCGUGGGUAGC